rnacentral:rRNA from 1 species
AUGAAGCUGGAAUUGCUAGUAAUCACAGGUCAGCAUACUGUGGUGAAUACGUUCCCGGGCCUUGUACACACCGCCCGUCACACCAUGAGAGUUGAGAAUACCCGAAGUCCAUGUCAAAGUGGCCGAAGGUAGGCUUGAUGAUUGGGGUGAAGUCGUAACAAGGUAAC